rnacentral:rRNA from 1 species
GAUGAACGCUGGCGGCGUGCCUAAUACAUGCAAGUCGAGCGAACAGACGAGGAGCUUGCUCCUCUGACGUUAGCGGCGGACGGGUGAGUAACACGUGGAUAACCUACCUAUAAGACUGGGAUAACUUCGGGAAACCGGAGCUAAUACCGGAUAAUAUAUUGAACCGCAUGGUUCAAUAGUGAAAGACGGUUUUGCUGUCACUUAUAGAUGGAUCCGCGCCGCAUUAGCUAGUUGGUAAGGUAACGGCUUACCAAGGCAACGAUGCGUAGCCGACCUGAGAGGGUGAUCGGCCACACUGGAACUGAGACACGGUCCAGACUCCUACGGGAGGCAGCAGUAGGGAAUCUUCCGCAAUAGGCGAAAGCCUGACGGAGCAACGCAGCGUGAGUGAUGAAGGUCUUCGGAUCGUAAAACUCUGUUAUUAGGGAAGAACAAAUGUGUAAGUAACUAUGCACGUCUUGACGGUACCUAAUCAGAAAGCCACGGCUAACUACGUG